AUAUGUUAAGUCUCUAGGGGUCAUGUGAAACCCGUAACUGCACUCUAUGUAAUUCCAGCACUCCGGCCUCUCUCCAUGUGCUCUCCGAGGAAUCUUGCUGUGAUCAGUUUUAAGUGCCUCCUGUACUGAAUGUUCUCCAACCUCCAUCUCCAGCUCCAAUGUCUUGAACUCUAGCUCCAUAUUCCUAAAAGGAUGAGAAAACCUGGAGGCCCCUAAGCACUUCAUGCUGAAUUGGUUUGCACCCAAAACGUCAUAGUCCUGUAGAACUUCACAAGAACUAUGUGAGCAUAGUUCUUGUUUCUUUGAAUGGCACAUCACUCCAGCUGCUUAAAUCAGGGCCCAGAAGAGUCUUAAACGCCUUCUUUACCCUUUUACUCCACAUCCAUGCAGUUUACCUGCUUUUAGAACCCAGAGGAAAAGGAUGUCCUCAUGCCCAAUUUACAGCAAAAGCCAUGAAUUUACACAUGACAGCCUCAGAAUUCAUGUCAGGAUAUGUGUUCUAAUCUGAAUAAAGCAUUAUUUCCAA